rnacentral:antisense_RNA from 1 species
UGUGGGAGCGGGCUUGCUCGCGAAUGCGGUAUUUCAGUUGGCACAUCUGAUACUGGUACACCGCUUUCGCGAGCAAGCCCGCUCCCACA